ACACAUGCAGUCGAGCGGGGAAUGUAGCUUGCUACAUUACCCAGCGGCGGACGGGUGAGUAAUGCUCAGGAAUCUGCCUAUUAGUGGGGGACAACAUUUCGAAAGGAAUGCUAAUACCGCAUACGCCCUACGGGGGAAAGCAGGGGAUCUUCGGACCUUGCGCUAAUAGAUGAGCCUAAGUCGGAUUAGCUAGUUGGUGGGGUAAAGGCCUACCAAGGCGACGAUCUGUAGCGGGUCUGAGAGGAUGAUCCGCCACACUGGGACUGAGACACGGCCCAGACUCCUACGGGAGGCAGCAGUGGGGAAUAUUGGACAAUGGGGGGAACCCUGAUCCAGCCAUGCCGCGUGUGUGAAGAAGGCCUUUUGGUUGUAAAGCACUUUAAGCGAGGAGGAGGCUACCUAGAUUAAUACUCUGGGAUAGUGGACGUUACUCGCAGAAUAAGCACCGGCUAACUCUGUGCCAGCAGCCGCGGUAAUACAGAGGGUGCAAGCGUUAAUCGGAUUUACUGGGCGUAAAGCGUGCGUAGGUGGCCAAUUAAGUCAAAUGUGAAAUCCCCGAGCUUAACUUGGGAAUUGCAUUCGAUACUGGUUGGCUAGAGUAUGGGAGAGGAUGGUAGAAUUCCAGGUGUAGCGGUGAAAUGCGUAGAGAUCUGGAGGAAUACCGAUGGCGAAAGCAGCCAUCUGGCCUAAUACUGACACUGAGGUACGAAAGCAUGGGGAGCAAACAGGAUUAGAUACCCUGGUAGUCCAUGCCGUAACGAUGUCUACUAGCCGUUGGGGUCUUUGAGACUUUAGUGGCGCAGCUAACGCG
rnacentral:rRNA from 1 species